UGGAAGUUCUAAAGCUACUUCAGACCGCUCACCAAACAAACCAUUUAUUCCCCACUCAGAUGGCAACUCUAAAUCUCUGGGCUCCCAUUGACCUGGAACUGGGCCUCAACACAAUACUGAAAGACUCCUUUGAGAGGGCCAGUACGGCAAGCAGGAGUAGGAGGGGUCUGAGGGCAAGGAAGCCAGGCUGGGGCAUUACAAGUUGAGGGUCCCUUAGCUCCUGUUUCCCAGCUUAGAGUGAUAGGCGCAGGGAGAUGAAAGACCCUCAAGCUCUGUGAAUUGAGCUCUAGACAGGUCUCACAAAACUAGAUGUGCUAACAGAGGGCCUCCUUCAAAACUUCAGAAUGCCUCCUUUCAAUUGGCAGGCCUAUUGUCUUUCUUUAGAAAGGCAGUGUUUGACUUCUGGAGGACAAUGCGGUGGAUACAUGGAUUUGCUGUGGCUCAGUUGAAGGCUUUAUCUGGGAGGGUUGAAGCUAUAAUGAGAUUACAAAUUCAACUUUGUCCUCUUCAUGCAGUAGCUUUGGCUUAGAGUUUAAGUGAUGUAACCACAGAAGCAACAAACAAGAUGUCAAUAUUCGGUUAACGGCUCAGCUUUUAAUACCGAGGUGCUUUUUUUUUUUUUUAAUCAAGAAGACAAAUUGGUAAAGGUGCUGCUUGUUGAAGUUGCUUCUGCACUCCAAGUUAAUAUGGCUAUAUAUUGAUGUUAAAAAUGUAUCUGUUGACUUAGGCAGGAUUAGGAACAUGUUCAAAUCAAAUGCUGGAUUUCCAGUGGCAUUGGAAACCAUCUUUCCAGACACUUAUAAACAAGGUAGGAAGUCACUGUGUUGACGGUUUACUUUAACAUUCAUUGUUAAACCGUGAAUGGUAUGUAACAAGAAGCAUGAUUACUAUGUUGUGCAGAGGUUAAAGUCUUUCUAACAUCUUUUUUUAUUUGUUAGUUUGUUAUUUUUUGCGAUGCUGUUAUGUGCACUGCUUAAUGCAACCCUAUCGAUCCUUUUCUGAUCACACCUUUAACUGAAAUUUUCAUGGUCAGGUUAUGGUUGAAGGAAAACUAGUUUUGUGUAGUAGUAAAGGUUGGUAAAAUGAGUUUUCCACUGUGGUAAACUGCAGCUGCUUAAGUUUGCUGAAAAAAUGCUGUGCUAAGCAGUCUUAAUGUAGAAACAUGUCAUGUUUCGCUGCUUAGUUGCCAUUUAUAUUUACA
ensembl:lncRNA